AGCCAGCGUGGCAUAGUGGUUUGAGUGUAGGACUAAGACUCCAGAGUCCAGGGUUCGAGUCCCUGACUGGCUG